AGGCUCUGCUCUGACAACCCUCUUCCUUCUGCAUUUUUUCUAGAUUAUAGUUGUUUACUUUUCUGUUUCCUCCCAGUCAGCAGCAGGUAUUUUCUGACAUUCAGAGCUACAUAGUAUAUAGAACAGAUAAAGAACUCACUACUUAUAGGUAGACAGGUGGAGUGAAGGGAGGAACAAGUGGCAUUGUGAUCCUUGAUGUCAUGUGUCCACUAGACUAGGCCAAGAGACGCCAGAGAGCUGGUAAAACUGUAUUUCUGGGGGUUGGGGUUGUGGCUCAGUGGUAGAGUACCUGCCUAGUGCAUGUAAGGCCCUGGGUUCGAUCCUCAGCACCACAUAAAAAUAAAUAAAUAAAAGUAUUGUGUCCAACUACAACUAAGGAAAAAAAAAAACAACUUUAUUUCUGGGUGUGCCUGCGGGGAUCCUUCUGCAAGAGGUUAGCAUUUGAACUGGGGAACUGAGAAAAGCUGAUAGUCCUCCCACAGGCUGGCAGACAUCAUCCAAUCCUCUGACAGCUGGAGUAGAACAAAAAAGCAGAGGAAGAAAGAAUUCUCUCCCUUCUCUUUAGGGGGUAUCCGUUUUCUCCCACCCCGAGACAUCAGAGCUCCUGGUCCUCAGGCUUUUGGACUUGCCCUGAAUCACGCCACCAGCUUUCCUGGAUCUCCAGCCUGUACCUCUGGGCCUCCAUGAUUGUUUAAGCCAAUUCCCCUGGUAAAUCCCCUCUUAGAGAUCUCUGUUUCUCCUCCUGGGUGUGUUUAUCUGGAGAAUCCUAAUAUAUGCAUAAAAACUUGCCAAUCAAGGUUAGCUCCAUACACAUCAAACGGGCUUACUCCUGGGGGGCUUCAGCCCUGCCUAACCAUCUGCACUCACCCCCCUUUGUGAGUUCUUUGCUGUGCCCGUGGCACCCCUCCUGGACCAUCUCCACCCUCAUGGAAGGGGAGGGGUGUUCUGCCUCCCAGCCCCACCCCAUGGCCCCCUCCGCUGAGCCCAGGGCAUGGGUUCCUCCCCCAACCUGCCCAUCCAUCUCAUCUAAAGGGGCUCUUUUAGCCAAAUUGGGAAAAAUAAUUGGAAUCUGCCUGUUCUUAGUUGGGCAGGAGGGCCGCAACAGUCCUAGAGGGAGCCACAAACAGUUUGCUCUCUCUCAUGAGAGAGCAAUAUUAAAAAAUAUUUGUGGAGUGAAGGCAUGAAGGUACUAUAAAUAUUUACACUUGAGAUUCAAUCAGUCUCUGAAAGAAAAGGUUUGUAAGGCCAAAGCAAAGCAUCAGGAAUUCCAGACAUGCUAAGUUGGCAGAUUCCAGAGGCUACAUUCUCAGCAACUCGGGCCUGAGUUCCUCGUCUGGAUUUCUCUGGACCCUGCUGACCGCCACUUAGAAGACCCGUCACCCCUGCUUCUUCCAGGUUUGAAGGUGGAGGACACAGAAUUCUCUGGCUAAGUGACUCGCUAACCUGGUGGGGAGCUUGGGGCAGGAUCCUGCCUAUUGUUGUUUGCUGGAAGGGAUGGGAUUCACGUGCCAGCCCAGAAUGGUGUCUCCAUAUACACUUCCUUUGGUGAGUGUGCAGACAUGAAAUCAGCUGGUUUUUGGAAAACAAGCUCAAUGGCUACCUGGCCAGGUAUGGAACUGGAUGAGAGGCGCGUGCUGCCAACUGUCAGUGUGGAGCCGUUGCAAGUGUGGUGGUGCUGCUGCAGCUGGAUUGCCAAGCCUGGUCACGGUGAGCGACAGCAGUCAUGACUCAGCAGCUGCUGACUGGAGGGGAUACAGACUCUGGGAUGCUAGGACUUGGAACAGUACUCCAGUUUCAGAAGGGAUAGCACUAAGUCACUCUUUGAGAAAACAUGUCUCUGACCAGUGAGCCUGGCUUGGCUUGAGGAGUACCAGACUGUGCCUCUGAUCUCACCUGAAACUUUGCCAGUGGCAUGUCUCAAAGUGAGCUACAUUUUGCAACUCAAGCAGGCUUAGUCUCACUAUAUGGAAGAGUUUUUUUUUCUAAACAUUUAGGAAAAUAAUUCGUACCACAUAGUUGUUUUCAACAACUAUGCCCCAAACUAUUCUUCCCAUGAGUGGUUUUAUAGUUUCUUCAAAGUCACCGUCAGGAUUUACCUUUUUCAUGUAGCUAUUCAUCUACUUACUGUACUCUUCUGGCUCUGAUAUGCUCAAUGUGUUAAUCUGUUGUUAUAUUGUUUCAUGUAUUCCCCAUGUUUGUGUACCAGUAAACAGACUCAAAAAUCAUGCCUAAAACAUAAUAUAAA